rnacentral:lncRNA from 1 species
UAUCUCCCCCCCACACCCUUUCUUUCAUCCAUUUUAAUGGUAAAUAUUCCAUUGGUGAAUAUUACCAUUUGAGAAUGACUUUUUUUUUUUUUUUUUUUUUUUUUUUUUUUUUUUUUUUUUUAAACCAUAACGAUGGGCAGUAGUUCAGAACUACUGAAGUCUGGCUGGAGAGAUGAGGAACUAUUACUUUUUAAUACUGCUUGAAAUGGGAACACUUUUUUGCUGGAAGCCCAUUUUUCUAAAAGAAACAAUCAUGUUUUUUCUUCAUUUUCUCCGCGCCUCUAAUCUGCCAGGAAAUAAUUCAGCGCAUUUCGGGCUGAAGCCUGUGCCUCGCCGCCUGUGGUUGGGUCACCGUCCCUUCUGAGGCUGCUCGGAGGAGGGAGAGGACGCUUGCCCUCGCGGGUGUUCUACCCCUGAGACUGACGCUCCUUGGUGCUCUCUCUGUUCCCUCCCAGAUCUUGGGAGAAGCAUGGACAUCUCUGUUUCUGCUUUUGGUCCCCGAAUGCAGUUGCUCGCCCACCGGCCCCCUGCCUCUGGCGCUCCUGGGCGCGGGGAAUCUGGGGCCGCCCCGCCUGCGCACGGCGGUGCCGGGAUUGGGGGCGGGCGCGCCGCCUCCGUCUCCCGCGUGCUCGCUCUCUCGCUCACUCGCUCCCGCCCUCCCCGCCUUGAGCGAUCUCCUGCCUCAGCCUUGCAGGCUCCGCACUGCAGAUGCCCGCGGCUUCCCUGUGCUCUCGGCGGCUCCCGCGGUGCCCCGCAAGUCCCAGUGACCCUCCAGCCGUGCGCUCCCUGCUCCCAAGGGUCUGUUAGCCGCGGACACUCACCCAGCUCGGCGAGCGCAGCUGCUCAGCCGGUGAGGCAGCGGGGACCGAGAGGGACGGUGGCCGCGCCAGAGCCUGGGGCGCUCCCGGAUGCGGCAGGACAAGCUGACCGGGUCUCUGAGGCGCGGGGGGAGAUGCCUGAAGCGGCAGGGCGGCGGCGUGGGCACCAUACUGAGCAAUGUGCUCAAGAAGCGCAGCUGCAUUUCCCGGACCGCGCCCAGGCUGCUCUGCACCCUGGAGCCGGGAGUUGAUACUAAGUUGAAAUUCACUCUUGAGCCAUCUUUAGGUCAAAAUGGUUUUCAGCAGUGGUACGAUGCUCUCAAGGCAGUUGCCAGGCUAUCCACAGGAAUACCAAAGGAAUGGAGGAGAAAGGUUUGGUUGACCUUGGCAGAUCAUUAUUUGCACAGUAUAGCCAUUGACUGGGACAAAACCAUGCGCUUCACUUUCAAUGAAAGGAGUAAUCCUGAUGAUGACUCCAUGGGAAUUCAGAUAGUCAAGGACCUUCACCGCACAGGCUGUAGUUCUUACUGCGGCCAGGAGGCUGAGCAGGACAGGGUUGUGUUGAAGCGGGUGCUACUGGCCUAUGCCCGAUGGAACAAAACUGUUGGGUACUGCCAAGGCUUUAACAUCCUGGCUGCACUAAUUCUGGAAGUGAUGGAAGGCAAUGAAGGGGACGCCCUGAAAAUUAUGAUUUAUCUUAUUGAUAAGGUACUUCCCGAAAGCUAUUUUGUCAAUAAUCUCCGGGCAUUGUCUGUGGAUAUGGCUGUCUUCAGAGACCUUUUAAGAAUGAAGCUGCCGGAAUUAUCUCAGCACCUGGAUACUCUUCAGAGAACUGCAAACAAAGAAAGUGGAGGUGGAUAUGAGCCCCCACUUACAAAUGUCUUCACGAUGCAGUGGUUUCUGACUCUCUUUGCCACGUGCCUCCCUAAUCAGACGGUUUUAAAGAUCUGGGAUUCAGUCUUCUUUGAAGGUUCAGAAAUCAUCCUAAGGGUGUCGCUGGCUAUCUGGGCAAAAUUAGGAGAGCAGAUAGAAUGUUGUGAAACAGCAGAUGAAUUCUACAGCACCAUGGGGCGCCUUACCCAGGAGAUGCUAGAGAAUGAUCUUCUGCAAAGCCAUGAACUCAUGCAGGUGAGUGGUCAACAUGGAGCAGCUUGGCUCAGGGAACCCCAGGCACGGUGGGAACAACCAGUGCCAGAGCAGC